AGUCAAUCGACCCAAUAUGUUUUAUUUGUGUGGUCUACUUCUCUCAAGCAUGCAGUCCCCCUGAUACCGAACAUGCUUGGUGGCAUCGAGGAUGUGAGCAAUUGUGGAAAGGCAGGUAGUUUGCUCGUAUCUUUAUAAAUGUAGUUUGCGGCCUUAUGGUAGGUCACUUAGAUUAUUGUCAAGGUUGUGCCUGCAAACUUUCUCGGGGGGAGCUUAAUUUUGAUGCUCUG
rnacentral:misc_RNA from 1 species